CUUCAAACUCCGAGUCGGUAGGUGGCGGUGAAGCGCCGUUCGCUGUUUUCACACUGCCGUAAAAUACCCUAAUGAGCUGCAAAGAGGCGCAACGAAGAAGAGUGACGGUUUGCACAUACCGGGCUGCUUAUGGGACUGUUGUCCAUCCAGCAGCCCUGUGCUCCUCCUGCUUUGGCUAUCACUGCUCCCUGACUGCAAGAGCCUCCCAUCAGAGUGACUGCAAACUCAAGCUCAAGACCUUCCUCGAAAUUUUGUCUGCAACAAAUGCACAAUCCACAGUUUAUUUUAAAUUAGAUUAGAUUAGAUCAAAGAGUCUUUAUUGUCCCUGAGGGGCAUUUUGGUUUGCAAUGUAGUCAACACAACCAGUGCACAUCAUCCUGAAAAGAAAUAGUUUGUACACUACAAAGUGACAUAACAUAUAGCAUACAGAAGGACAUUAUAAAAAUAUACAGUGAGAAAUAAAAAUGAGAUGAUAAUAAUGAAGCUGUAAGAGUGCAUCAGUCCUUUGUUUAGUGCAAUGGCAAGAAAACCUAUGGCUUGUUAUGGAACCCAACAGCGGAUGGAACAGAGUAUCUCAAAUAUCAUUUGUUCUAUGAGCUAUGAUGAGAUUUACAAAGCUCCCGGAAAGAGUGGCUGAUCAUACAUACGAUAAACUUUAUUUUAAUUUAGUGAGUUACACAAGGUACAAGACACAUGAUUGUAAAUGGAAGUUGUAGUGCCUUUAUACUACUCAUGGAAUAAAAGUAAAAAAUUUUGAGGCAACUACAUAUAUUGUUAACCGUGUUGUAGAGUGAGGUAUUACUGGAAGGUGCAUUCAUUUAAGUAAGAAAAUUAAGCUUGGAAAUUGCACACAAAAAAGACUGCCUAUGAAAAGUGUUCACCUUUAAAAUUUUGGCAUAUUUGUGUUCACCGUGUUAUAGUGUUAUUAAAGCAACCUUCUUUCUUUC